rnacentral:rRNA from 1 species
UACGUAGGGGGCAAGCGUUGUCCGGAUUUAUUGGGCGUAAAGAGCGUGUAGGCGGCCGUACAGGUCAGCUGUGAAAACUCGAGGCUCAACCUCGAGACGUCGGUUGAAACCGUACGGCUAGAGUCCGGAAGAGGAGAGUGGAAUUCCCGGUGUAGCGGUGAAAUGCGCAGAUAUCAGGAGGAACACCAAUGGCGAAGGCAGCUCGCUGGGACGUGACUGACGCUGAGACGCGAAAGCGUGGGGAGCAAACAGG